CCUGACUGCUAUCGGAUUGAUACUAAGCCAUGUGAGUCAUUGUAGCAAUACAAGGCAGACGGCUCAGUAACACGUAGCCAAUCUAACCUAUGGACGGGGAUAACCUCGGGAAACUGAGGAUAAACCCCGAUAGAUCAUUAUGCCUGGAACGGUUUAUGGUCCAAAUGAUUCGUCGCCGUAGGAUGAGACUGCGGCCUAUCAGCUUGUUGGUGAGGUAAUGGCCCACCAAGGCUAUUACAGAUACGGGCUCUGAGAGGAGAAGCCCGGAGAUGGGUACUGAGACACGGACCCAGGCCCUAUGGGGCGCAGCAGGCGAGAAAACUUUGCAAUGUGCGAAAGCACGACAAGGUUAAUCCGAGUGUUUUCUGCUAAAGAAAUCUUUUGUUAGUUCUAAAACCACUAUCGAAUAAGGGGUGGGCAAGUUCUGGUGUCAGCCGCCGCGGUAAAACCAGCACCUCAAGUGGUCAGGAUGAUUAUUGGGCCUAAAGCAUCCGUAGCCGGCUAUGUUAGUUCUCGGUUAAAUCCAUGUGCUCAACACAUGGGCUGUCGAGAAUACUGUAUAGCUAGGGAGUGGGAGAGGUAGACGGUACUCGGUAGGAAGGGGUAAAAUCCUUUGACCUAUCGAUGACCACCAGUGGCGAAGGCGGUCUACCAGAACACGUCCGACGGUGAGGGAUGAAAGCUGGGGGAGCAAACCGGAUUAGAUACCCGGGUAGUCCCAGCCGUAAACUAUGCAGACUCGGUGAUGCCCUGGCUUGUGGCCAGUGCAGUGCCGCAGGGAAGCCGUUAAGUUUGCCGCCUGGGAAGUACGUACGCAAGUAUGAAACUUAAAGGAAUUGGCGGGGGAGCACCACAAGGGGUGAAGCCUGCGGUUC
rnacentral:rRNA from 1 species